rnacentral:rRNA from 1 species
UACGUAGGGUGCGAGCGUUUGUCCGGAAUUAUUGGGCGUAAAGAGCUCGUAGGCGGUUUGUCGCGUCGACUGUGAAAACCUACAGCUUAACUGUGGGCUUGCAGUCGAUACGGGCAGACUUGAGUUCGGUAGGGGAGACUGGAAUUCCUGGUGUAGCGGUGAAAUGCGCAGAUAUCAGGAGGAACACCGGUGGCGAAGGCGGGUCUCUGGGCCGAUACUGACGCUGAGGAGCGAAAGCGUGGGGAGCGAACAGG